rnacentral:rRNA from 1 species
UGGGGAAUAUUGCGCAAUGGGGGAAACCCUGACGCAGCGACGCCGCGUGCGGGAUGAAGGCCUUCGGGUUGUAAACCGCUUUUGAUUGGGAGCAAGCUUUCGGGUGAGUGUACCUUUCGAAUAAGCGCCGGCUAACUACGUGCCAGCAGCCGCGGUAAUACGUAGGGCGCAAGCGUUAUCCGGAAUUAUUGGGCGUAAAGAGCUUGUAGGCGGUUCGUCGCGUCUGGUGUGAAAGCCCAUCGCUUAACGGUGGGUUUGCGCCGGGUACGGGCGGGCUAGAGUGCAGUAGGGGAGACUGGAAUUCCCGGUGUAACGGUGGAAUGUGUAGAGAUCGGGAAGAACACCAAUGGCGAAGGCAGGUCUCUGGGCUGUUACUGACGCUGAGAAGCGAAAGCGUGGGGAGCGAACAGG